CCUGGCUUAGGACGAACGCUGGCGGCGUGCCUAAUACAUGCAAGUCGAACGGUCUUUCUAUGGAAGCUUGCUCCACUGAGAAGAUAGUGGCGAACGGGUGAGUAACACGUGGGUAACCUGCCCAUAAGAGGGGGAUAACAUCCGGAAACGGGUGCUAAUACCGCAUAGUUUUCUUGAUCGCAUGAUCGGGAAAGGAAAGACGGCCUUUGUGCUGUCGCUUAUGGAUGGACCCGCGGCGUAUUAGUUAGUUGGUGAGGUAACGGCUCACCAAGACGAUGAUACGUAGCCGACCUGAGAGGGUGAUCGGCCACAUUGGGACUGAGACACGGCCCAAACUCCUACGGGAGGCAGCAGUAGGGAAUCUUCCGCAAUGGACGAAAGUCUGACGGAGCAACGCCGCAUGAGUGAAGAAAGGUUUUCGGAUCGUAAAACUCUGUUGUCAGAGAAGAACAAGUUGGAGAGUAACUGCUCCAGCCUUGACGGUAUCUGACCAGAAAGCCACGGCUAACUACGUGCCAGCCGCUGC
rnacentral:rRNA from 1 species